UGGGGAAUUUUGGACAAUGGGCGAAAGCCUGAUCCAGCAAUGCCGCGUGUGUGAAGAAGGCCUUCGGGUUGUAAAGCACUUUUGUCCGGAAAGAAAUCCUUGGCUCUAAUACAGUCGGGGGAUGACGGUACCGGAAGAAUAAGCACCGGCUAACUACGUGCCAGCAGCCGCGGUAAUACGUAGGGUGCAAGCGUUAAUCGGAAUUACUGGGCGUAAAGCGUGCGCAGGCGGUUUGCUAAGACCGAUGUGAAAUCCCCGGGCUCAACCUGGGAACUGCAUUGGUGACUGGCAGGCUAGAGUAUGGCAGAGGGGGGUAGAAUUCCACGUGUAGCAGUGAAAUGCGUAGAGAUGUGGAGGAAUACCGAUGGCGAAGGCAGCCCCCUGGGCCAAUACUGACGCUCAUGCACGAAAGCGUGGGGAGCAAACAGGAUUAGAUACCCUGGUAGUCCACGCCCUAAACGAUGUCAACUAGUUGUUGGGGAUUCAUUCCUUAGUAACGUAGCUAACGCGUGAAGUUGACCGCCUGGGGGAGUACGGUCGCAAGAUUAAAACUCAAAGGAAUUGACGGGGU
rnacentral:rRNA from 1 species